UCUCUCUCGCCGUCUCGCGUUUUCUCUCUCUACUUCUCUGCUGCGUUCUUUUAAUUCUGCUCCUUCUCAUCGUUCUUGGCCGAUCUUCACCUCGUCUUCAUACAAAUCUCAGCAUUUGCACCCAUGAAUGGAGGAACUGCUUCUGAGUUACCUGAUACAAACUCCUGGAAGCAACCAUUUGAUGCUCAGAGAUACUUUUCACAUAGUGAAAGUGACUGACAGGACUGUGUAUACCUUUUUUUUUUUUUUUGAGAAUAGGACUAUGUAUACCUAAAUAAAGAAAAGGAGCAAGUUGAGACAAUUUUCCCUCA